GAUUUUACGGUGUUUCAAGUGCAUAAACAGAAACGCACUCUCUUAGUAAUUAGAGAGCGUUUCAUGACAAUUUCUAUCUAAAUUGGUAUCCAUGCAAUGCUUCGCGCCGUGUCCUAAUUGGGUGUCUCAAUGAUAGACAUGUUUAUUCAUAUCCAUACUUGACAAUACGGAGGAGGAAUAUUUCAUCCAUGAUAAUACUAUUAGCACUCAUUGACUUCUUGAUUAGGCAUGCGUGCAUGAAUAUGUGUUUCGAUGAAUGAGCACAUUGAUGGGGCAACAGAUCCGACGUUUCCAGUUUCGACUGCUGUGGUAAGCUGUUUGGUACCAUCAUACGGCCAUGACCACGCGUUUUUUGAGGUGAAUAUACUUUUGCUCAAAGCUAACGAGUAAUUGUGAACAUAAUUGUAAGUAACGACGUGUAGACUGGAUCUGGCAGCGUACGUGUGGUGUGUUGACACCUCGAAUAAUGUCGUAUACAUGUUUUCUACAUGACGUAGCCCCACUGAACAACACGUGACGAAACCACUGAUACACUAAUGACAUCGACAGUGAAAUGCAGAUUCGUGCCAACUUUCUACACACUGACUUACUAUUUAUCCAUGUCAACAGUCUCAGCUCAUUCCAAAUAUUGCCUAUCGAUUUUAGAUUGAAAAACAGAAGAAAUACACGACGGCUGUUACCGAGUUCAUGCAUUAACUAAUUCGUCGAUGACAUCAUAUCGCUUUUUGAUGCACUGGUUAUUUGACCUAUAACAUUUCUUUUUUUUAAAGAUCUUUCAAGUUUAAGCAUGAAGAGGAAGCUAUCUGCUUCCCUAACCGAUGAUAAAUAAUUCGCUUUAAAUCAAGAAUAGUCAGUCGAGCCUUGAUAUAAAAAAUGUAAUGUGGAUAAUCUUCUAUUCCUGAAUAUCCGAAACAUGACUUAUUUGGUAUUCAUGUGGUUGCCUGCAACAUCAAUCUGCUGUAAGUGAAUGUCAGACUUCAUAAUCAACGUCCACAAAAAAGGUAAAACACUGUUCGCAGACUGCUGAAACAUUAACGUUUGCUAAAUUAUCGGCCGACUAAAUACAUUGAUGCAUAUACGAGAUUUGAUGAACAUUAUAUAAAGUAGUAAAACUUUGGAUUAUAUUUUCAAUUCUAAACUGAAAUGUACAGGCAUGUUACAGAGGCUGUGUUUGUCAAUACAAUGGACGUUUAUAGAUUCAACAGUAGAAUAUAUAAUUCACUGUUGUAUUGUCUAUUGCUAGUCGUCAUGUACGUAGAUUAUACCAAAGCUAUACCGCAUCGACGGAAAUUAGACUUGAGUACAAGUAGAAAUAAUAUACGACUGGAUACGGACCGUACUUAUAUAAUUAAUUCCAACUCAUCAGCCGUCGACAGACUUUACGAUCGUAAUUCUACUGAUAGGCCUACGUAUUCGAUAACUAAUAUCAACGAUUAUGAUUCGGACUAUGACGCGGCAUCAAGCUCCAUGUAUGUUAUAAUCAUUUUAACAGUACUGGUUAUAUCUGCUCUUGUAAUGCUUGGAGGAUAUCUAUGCCACAAAGGAGAAGCCUACCGACAAUCGUAGCCAAUUAAAUAACCGAAUUGACAGAUUUAAGGAAAAGAGAUCAAAUGUGCUGAACAUGUUGGGCAGCAUUACGUGAUAUUUUUCGAUCCCUAAGUAUUUUUUAUCUCAAUGCUGUUACAGCCAGGCCUGUUGAAACGCAUGCUAAUAUGAGUAUUGUCCGUUUGCAAACAGUUCUAAUUGGAACUCGAUGGCUUGGCACGGUAAUUAUAUUGAACACGUUUUCAAUAAGGAUAUUUGGUCUACUGUCAGAACGGUAAAUAAGGUCUCUUUGAUGAAUUGUGAUUCCGCUUGGAAAAUUGGAAGGUUUUUACCAGAUUUAAAAAUGUUUAUAUGCAGUUGUGAAAAUUUUCAAGUCAAAGCCAUUCAGUGUUAAGUCAUCAUAUUGGUUUCAGAUUAAAGACUAUAGGCCUAUGGACCAAAAACCAAAACUACAAAAACAAAUGUUUAAUUAAAAAAACAGAAAAAAACAAAAAAAAAAAAAA
rnacentral:lncRNA from 1 species